ensembl:lncRNA
GUUGUGCUCCUAUAGUGAGUCUCAUCCCAGGGAAACUCCCAGAGGAAAUCAGGGCAGGAUGGUUGGUACUGCCCAUCUUUGUGUGGGGACGGCACUUCUGUCUCUGCUGGUUUUAAUUCCUUCACGUGACUUGAAAAAAGGAAAUGGCACCAGUGAACUCACUAACCAAGACCAAAAUCAAUGGAAGAGAAAUGUGACGUUCAAGACAUCUUCCCUGGAGGUGAAAAAACAGCUCUUGAACUGGGGAGAGAGUGGCAAACUCCUUUGUUUCUUGGUUCUUCAUGGUACCCUUAUCGCCAAACUGUCACAGGAAAAAAAGAGAGGUGAUGGUAGAUAUGUUUUAAACAAAAUUCUUGGCUGUUGGAGGAUUUUUUAAAUUAUUAUUAAUUUUUAGAGAAAAAAAAAGGCUUUGAGAGACCCAGCUGUCAUUGUGUGUAAGAGAAGACAUCUCCACCCAGAUCCAACCAAACCUUUGACUGCUCAACAGCGAUAGCAUUUCAUCGCUACUUCCUCUGCAGAUUAUGCAGACCUCCUGGCUCUGCUCGGCCCCAGUUGACAACCUGGGCACCGUGUGGGUCUUCUCAGAACCAUUCUGGCACGAUGCCAGAUGCCCCUCUUUCUUUUUGGGGGGACACUGCAGCCUCAGUGGGCAGCACCGUGAUGUCCACACACCUGCAUAAACUGAGAGACGCUGAGAUGUAAACAAAGCAGCUACUUUCUUGGAACCUGUGCAUCUGCUGUUGGAUGACAGAAAUCAGGUCUUCCCUGAGUAUUUCCCUAAAUCAAAUGUUUUGUCUCAGUUAAACAACUGUAUUGGUGGACAAUGUUAUACUGAAAAAAUGGGGCUUUUACUCAUCUGUUGGUAAAAAUAGUAUCACCUCGGGCUUUGCCUUAACUCAAACCAGAUACAUAUAGAGACAUUAGAAUGCUGUAGAAGACAGAUUUGUUUUUUAAUGGGACAAGUUUUUGGGAGCUGUUAACUAGGUUAUCCUGCCUACUGAAGCACGUUUCCGAUGGAAUUACACACAUCAUUCCCAUAUAAAUACCCACUGUCUUUAUGGUGAUUACUGCCUUUCAGAGAACAAGAAGUGUAUUAAUACUGAUCAAGCUGCUUUACGGAAAUAGAACAUUUUCACAGGAUUGGAAGCUGCUUUGCCAGUGAUGCUGUGCUGGGUCCUGGGAACUAAUUCAAGCUACUUAGCAUUAAUGAAUGAGAAUUAUUAAAACAGAAGCAAUUUUUUAAAGAGGAUGGUUCUGCCAAUCUGCUGACAUUGAACUACAACAAGAUACCCAUUAGCUAUUUUACUGUUACCUAUAUAACGUUGUCACCUGUUCUUUUCUUUUUUUCUCUCUCUCCAACAUUUUACCCUCCUUUAAGCCCUUGAGUCAUGGAAUUCCACAGUGAUUGAUGGCAGUUAGGGCUCAUAAUUCAGCAGGUCUACUGUGUGAGAUUACUUUAUAGGAGGCAAAGGAAAACUGUGCUUGUUCCUAGAUGGUACGAAGAAUGCAAAAAGGUUUGUGUAACAUUUUCCAGUGACAGUAAUAAAUAAUGUCCA